rnacentral:rRNA from 1 species
GACGUAGGGCGCGAGCGUUGUCCGGAUUUAUUGGGCGUAAAGAGCUCGUAGGCGGCUUGUCGCGUCGACUGUGAAAACCCGCGGCUUAACUGCGGGACUGCAGUCGAUACGGGCAGGCUAGAGUUCGGUAGGGGAGACUGGAAUUCCUGGUGUAGCGGUGAAAUGCGCAGAUAUCAGGAGGAACACCGAUGGCGAAGGCAGGUCUCUGGGCCACUACUGACGCUGAGAAGCGAAAGCAUGGGGAGCGAACAGG